UACGUAGGUGACAAGCGUUGUCCGGAUUUACUGGGCGUAAAGAGCGCGCAGGCGGUCGUUCAAGUCGAGUGUGAAAGCCCCCGGCUCAACUGGGGAGGGUCAUUCGAUACUGAUCGACUCGAAGGCAGGAGAGGGUAGUGGAAUUCCCGGUGUAGUGGUGAAAUGCGUAGAUAUCUGGAGGAACACCGGUGGCGAAGGCGGCAUCCUGGACCGGUAUUGACGCUGAGGCGCGAAAGCUAGGGGAGCAAACGGG
rnacentral:rRNA from 1 species